UUGGCCUUGACAUACUAAGAACUUUCCAGAGAUGGAUUGGUGGCCUUCGGGAACUUAGAUACAGUGCUGCAUGGCUGUCGUCAGCUCGUGUCGUGAGAUGUUGGUUAAGUCCGCAACGAGCGCAACCCUUUUCCUUAUUUGCCAGCGGGUAAUGCCGGGAACUUUAAGGAUACUGCCAGUGACAAACUGGAGGAAGGCGGGGACGACGUCAAGUCAUCAUGGCCCUUACGGCCAGGGCUACACACGUGCUACAAUGGUCGGUACAAAGGGUUGCUACCUCGCGAGAGGAUGCUAAUCUCAAAAAGCCGAUCGUAGUCCGGAUCGCAGUCUGCAACUCGACUGCGUGAAGUCGGAAUCGCUAGUAAUCGCGGAUCAGAAUGCCGCGGUGAAUACGUUCCCGGGCCUUGUACACACCGCCCGUCACACCAUGGGAGUUUGUUGCACCAGAAGUAGGUAGUCUAACCGCAAGGAGGACGCUUACCACGGUGUGGCCGAUGACUGGGGUGAAGUCGUAACAAGGUAAGCGUAGAUGA
rnacentral:rRNA from 1 species